GUCACCGCCAUCGCCGGGCUCGGUACCCUGACUGGCAUGGCUUCUAUCUCUGACCGGGAGAGCGGGGCCGCCGAGAACGAGGGAUCCGAGCAACCCCCCUCCCCGGCCGGCUGCACGUGUUAUGCGGAGGGCUCCCUCCUGGUCCUCUCCGGGCGCCCCCAACCCGCCACAAUGUUGCCAAUCCCCCCACGAGGCUCCCGGUCUCCAUCAUACCCCCACUCCAGAAUCCCUCACACCGCCAGUGCCCCUCACCACCCCCCACACCGCCAGUGCCCCCCUCACCAGAACCCCC